GACGAACGCUGGCGGCGUGCUUAACACAUGCAAGUCGAACGGAAAGGCCCUGCUUUUGUGGGGUGCUCGAGUGGCGAACGGGUGAGUAACACGUGAGUAACCUGCCCUUGACUUUGGGAUAACUUCAGGAAACUGGGGCUAAUACCGGAUAGGAGCUCCUGCUGCAUGGUGGGGGUUGGAAAGUUUCGGCGGUUGGGGAUGGACUCGCGGCUUAUCAGCUUGUUGGUGGGGUAGUGGCUUACCAAGGCUUUGACGGGUAGCCGGCCUGAGAGGGUGACCGGCCCCAUUGGGACUGGGGUACGGCCCAGACUCCUACGGGGGGCAGCAGUGGGGAAUAUUGCCCAAUGGGCGGAAGCCUGAUGCAGCAACGCCGCGUGCGGGAUGACGGCCUUCGGGUUGUAAACCGCUUUCGCCUGUGACGAAGCGUGAGUGACGGUAAUGGGUAAAGAAGCACCGGCUAACUACGUG
rnacentral:rRNA from 1 species